rnacentral:lncRNA from 1 species
AUGUAGAUGUGGUGCUCCCUCCAACUUGAUUAAUGAUCUUUCUUAUUAAGUUUCUACAAAAUAAAAAAAAUUGGAUAAUUGAAAAAAUGCAUACGCUAGGUUGCUUCCCAACAAGCGCUAAGUUUAAAAUUUUUAAUCAGACUAUGCAAUUCUCUCACUUAUCCUGGAUCAAACAUUGGAUUGAAAAAUUUCAGAGAUCUUUCACCCCCAAUUUUACAAAAAUAGCUUGCAACCCCAUUAUUGAUAUUUUCAAUUUUAGGAAGAUAGUUUGCAACCCCUUUCUCAGUCCCUUAUUCAUUGAGAAUUUCUCUUAUAUCUUCUUCUAAAAUGAUCCUAAAUUGCAUUUCUAGGUUAUGCAUUGAGUUCGAUGCAUUGAUUAUCAGGACGAUGUCAUUUGGUCCU